UAUAUAUUCCCGCGUCAAGAA
rnacentral:piRNA from 1 species